AGGGGGUCUUCAAUUCCGACAACCCGCCCCAGUAGUAGACGUUCUUCAAUAACUCAGUAAUCAACUCUUUCGCUUAGCAGUUGAAUUAGCCACUGAGCUGCCGAAGUUCGGCAGCGACAAUCUAUUGAGUUCUAAGGAACCUUCGGAAGAGCUGAUUCCGUAUCCAACUAUUUUAGGCUAAGGUGUGGAUUACCUUAGAAGAGCUGCUAAGCGCUACUACAAAUGCCUCGGUCGGAUUCGGGCUGUUGGAAUUCAUUAGGGGAGCUCAUUCCUUAUCCACAUUAUGUUGCAAAGUAGCUCAAGGGCACGUGCUGAUAAGCUCUAGAAACUUUCAGAACCUUUAGUGCCCACUUCCUUUCUUCAGAACGGCUCCCCUACGUUUUUGGGGGGAACUUGAGUGGCCCCAUUACCCUUGGAGGUAGCUUCGGAUAGGGUUGUAGAGUACCCUAGUUAGGUCUAUAGAAUGACGGUAGCUUAGAACUUCCGAUUUCGUUCGGAAGUCAAAGGAAAUGGGGAACAGUUCAUUACUACUUAGCUUCGCUCAACAAGCUGUUGAGGGAACCUUCUAACCUACUGUCAUUCUAUAGAGUUUGGGAGCUCAGCUAUCUCUUUCUAGAGCUACAAAAAGAGGUGACCGGUAUCGAAGAUCGCGAAGGCUCAUAAGUGCGACGAACAAACAACUAACUCCUAUUUUUUGUGUUAAAAGAACCUUCGAAGCCAGCUUGUGUAGCAGAUAAGGAGGGUUGUUUCGAGUUCAGUCGUUAAGCUACACGAGGCGGCAAGGCGGGUUGGAUUCAGUCUAGCUGAAUCGCAACGAGUUCAUUCGUUAAGUGACACGUUUAGACUCGUUACGUUAACGACUGAACUCAUUGUCUAAACGCUUGAGUUCAGUCGUUAAGCUACACGAGUUGCAUGGCAACGAGUUCAGUCGUUAAGCUACAAGAGUCUAUAGAGCAUCUUCGCAGUCGCUCCGCUAGGUAGCAACGUCAAAGCCCUCAACAACGAGGGCUUUUUGCUCUUGCGAAGCAAGUGGUAGCAAUGUCAAAGCACUCUAGAGGGCUUUGCAGCGCGAGCAAAGCACUCUAGCAUGCUUUGCAACAUAAAAGCGAAAGUUGAAGAGUUUUAGAAGUAGAAGUAGAAGCGAAGAAAACUACACCAAAAGCCGCUUAGAGAGAGCGUGCGGUGCGCGAAAGCCGUUGCGGCUUUCUUGCUGAGGAAUUUGAUCUUACUUUUUGAAAGGUAUUUAUAGAAGAAACGCCUGCGAAAGCCAAUUAAAUGAAUAAUAGUAUCUGCGAAAGAAAUAUAAAAAAGCAUAAGAACUUCACAACUUUCUUUUUGCUUUUAUAAAUUCUAAUAGAAUAUGCCAAUUUACCUAAGAAUUUGAAAGCUCGGAAGAAUUGUAUUGAUCUGCGAAAGCCAAAAAAUCAUUUAUUUAGGGUUUUCUCGUGGUUUUUGUUUGUCCAACAAUGGCACUAUCUGUUUCCGCAACAUUGUUGUGGCUUUUGCAAGUAAACAAUCCAAAGCUUUAAUCAAUAGACAUAACGAAGGAAAGCUUAGAUUUACUUCUUUAGACAUAAAGGAGGAAAGCUUUGCUUGUUCAACAAAAGAAGUCUCAGAAGGCUUUGCAAUGACACCAUCAUCAAAAGCUGUGGGUUUUGCAAGGAAACAAUCCAAGUGCUUUUGCUUGUUCAACAAUGGCACUAUCUGUUUCAGCAACAUUGCUGUGGUUAACUAAAAUCUUUCUUCUUUCUUUCUAUAUUCAAUUUUGAGUCUUACUAGUGAGCGCUAAGAGUCUUGAGUCUAACCUCUUUAAUUCCUUCAUUCUCUUCCUCGCUAAUUGAACUCUAGUUGAAGGGUUCUUCGUUAACAAAUUAUCGUAAUCAAAUAACUUUCUCUGCCCUGAAAAUGGAACUAAACAGUUGCUUUAUUCAAAGGUAAGUUCAAAAGGAUCUUAGCCAGACGUUGACCGGUCGCGCGGGACACUAUCGGUCCACGAAAGCUUGGCUCUUUGGGCGCUGCUUUAUCGAUCUACUAGCUAACUUCUUUUAAGAAAGACAAAAGUCUGAUUCUAUUGUAUACAACAAAAGAAGUCAAAGUCUGAAUAUCUGCGAAAGCCAACCAAAUCGGAGCGACGCAAGGAGCAGAGAUGCG
rnacentral:lncRNA from 1 species